rnacentral:rRNA from 1 species
UACGUAGGGUGCGAGCGUUGUCCGGAAUUACUGGGCGUAAAGAGCUCGUAGGUGGUUUGUCGCGUUGUCCGUGAAAACUCACAGCUUAACUGUGGGCGUGCGGGCGAUACGGGCAGACUGGAGUACUGCAGGGGAGACUGGAAUUCCUGGUGUAGCGGUGGAAUGCGUAGAGUUCCGGAGGAACACCGGCGGCGAAGGCGGCAUCCUGGACUGGUCCUGACACUCAGGGGCGAAAGCGUGGGGAGCGAUCCGG